UACGAAGGUGGCAAGCGUUAUCCGGAAUUAUUGGGCGUAAAGCGCGCGCAGGCGGUCCUUUAAGUCUGAUGUGAAAGCCCACGGCUCAACCGUGGAGGGUCAUUGGAAACUGGGGGACUUGAGUGCAGAAGAGGAGAGCGGAAUUCCACGUGUAGCGGUGAAAUGCGUAGAGAUGUGGAGGAACACCAGUGGCGAAGGCGGCUCUCUGGUCUGUAACUGACGCUGAGGCGCGAAAGCGUGGGGAGCGAACAGG
rnacentral:rRNA from 1 species